rnacentral:rRNA from 1 species
UACGAAGGGGGCUAGCGUUGCUCGGAAUCACUGGGCGUAAAGCGCACGUAGGCGGCUUCUUAAGUCAGGGGUGAAAUCCUGGAGCUCAACUCCAGAACUGCCUUUGAUACUGAGAAGCUUGAGUCCGGGAGAGGUGAGUGGAACUGCGAGUGUAGAGGUGAAAUUCGUAGAUAUUCGCAAGAACACCAGUGGCGAAGGCGACUCACUGGCCCGGUACUGACGCUGAGGUGCGAAAGCGUGGGGAGCAAACAGG